AUUGAACGCUGGCGGCAUGCCUUACACAUGCAAGUCGAACGGUAACAGGUCUUCGGAUGCUGACGAGUGGCGAACGGGUGAGUAAUACAUCGGAACGUGCCUAGUAGUGGGGGAUAACUACGCGAAAGAGUGGCUAAUACCGCAUGAGAUCUACGGAUGAAAGCAGGGGAUCGCAAGACCUUGUGCUACUAGAGCGGCCGAUGGCAGAUUAGGGAGUUGGUGGGAUAAAAGCUUACCAAGCCGACGAUCUGUAGCUGGUCUGAGAGGACGAUCAGCCACACUGGGACUGAGACACGGCCCAGACUCCUACGGGAGGCAGCAGUGGGGAAUUUUGGACAAUGGGCGCAAGCCUGAUCCAGCAAUGCCGCGUGCAGGAUGAAGGCCUUCGGGUUGUAAACUGCUUUUGUACGGAACGAAAAGCCCUGGGUUAAUACCCUGGGGUCAUGACGGUACCGUAAGAAUAAGCACCGGCUAACUACGUGCCAGCCGCCGCCGUAAAAC
rnacentral:rRNA from 1 species